GGAUGUAGGACAGUCUUGUGUGGGACCUGCCAACCUCUGCUGCUGGUCCUGUGUGAAUUCGUCAAUCCAGCUUCAAGAGGAAAAGGACAGCAUCCUUCCUGAUUGUGAUCCUCAGUGCUCCUUCCCAAAGACUUGCAGCUACUGUGUGUCUCACGGCUUCCGUCUAAUUUGCAAACGGCGUAUUUUGGAUUGAGGAGAUAAUGUGAUACAUAGAUGAGUGUUUCUCCAACUCAGAAGUGCUGAGGAUGGUCUGGGGAUCUCGUGAAAAUUCAGAUUCUGAUUCAGGGGCUCUGGGGUGAGGCCUGGAAGUCUGCAUUUCUACCAAGGCGCAAGCGUUGCUGUGGUUGCUGACCUCAAGAUCACACCUUGAGUAGCAAGGAAAAGGACAAUUAAGGUACAGGAGGUGUACCAGAUGUAAAUCUUGUUUUUCUUC
rnacentral:lncRNA from 1 species